rnacentral:piRNA from 1 species
UCUGCAAGCAGUGGCUUAGCA